rnacentral:lncRNA from 1 species
UGAAAAACAGCCCCAAGGCUGCCGUUACCCAGGAUAUCAUAAACCCGCAAGACGGCCUUUAUCUCGUGAGCUCCGGCACCCCUGCUGGAUGCAUGCUGCUGGCACAACUGCUGGCGGAUCUGCGGUGAUGAGUGCCUGUUGUCCAAGUUCCAGCAGCUCCAGGCCCCCUACCAGGACCAGCUACCGGCUCCUGCAGCGCGUCUGCUGCCCCUCGGCCUCCUGACCCUCCUCCAGGCCAUCCCGAGGGUCAUCAUGGCCAUUCGCCAGUGUUUUGGGGUUUGAAGUUGGAAUCUUCAGCUACUGUCAAGAACAGCCACAAAAAUGUGUCACGAUCAAGAUCUUUGAGAGUCCACCAAUCAGGAGGCGUCUGUGACAGUCGCUGUCUUCUCAGAACAGAAUCCACACCCAGGAUUCAACCCAAAUGAUUUCUCAUCAGGUGAUUCUUGGUUGUAGCAAAGUUCAUGUGAAUGUGGGUGAGUUUCUGUUAUGAAUGUGGUCAAUAAAUGUUAUUUGUGAAACUCUAAA